GGCACUUGGUUAUGGCCUGCAGCACUGGACGAAUCGAGGGUACAAGCACACAUCUAGGAUAUGAUACCUGUUCAGAGUCCAACUUAGGAAUCUUUCCAAGCCCAAGCCAUAGCCUCCAUGAGAACAUGUACCAUAUUUUCUCUGAUCUGUAUACCAAUAAUAAGGAGCGGGGUCAAUUCCUUCCCUUUUAUAGCCUUCUAGAAUUUCUUCACUAUCCCAAGAGCGCAUAGAGCCACACACAAUCUCACCAACAUUGGGCAUCAACACGUCAACAGAUUCGUCUUUCAGGAGCUUCGGGAAUAUCAUCUCCAAAUUCAUAGAGUGUCCCGUCUUCUUUCUUUACAUCGUGCUCCCUCAGCCACUCGAUAGCAUCUGAAUAGUUCAUCUGCCUGAAAGGCCAUUUAGGGGGUUUAAAGUUCGGGUUGAGGUCAUACACUAUGCUUGCCACUGGUGACUUCAAGACUCUGUCCACCACAUCACACACUAGGUCCUCUAAACGGUUCAGGAGGUCCUCAAAGGUCAGGAAGGGACACUCAGUUUCCACAUGAGUGAAUUCAGCCAGGUGCCUUCGUGUUCUGGACUGUUCAGCCCUGUAUGACUGGGCAAUACAGAAAACAUCCCCCAGGGCCGGAAGGCAGGUCUCCAGGUACAGUUUCGAGGACUGGGUUAAAAACGCUUCUUCCCCAAAAUAGUCAAGCUUGAAGAGUGUGGCCCCACCUUCCACCUGCGUCUGCACCAGUGUCAGAGUAGUAACUUCACAGUAGCCUCUGUUGAAGAAGUGAUCCCUGAAGCACCUGGUGAUCAUGGAGCGUGCUUUCAAGAUUUUGGACAUGUUCUCUCCUCGGAUCAUCAUGUGCUGGUUGUUGAGCUGGACGUCCACAUCAGACUCCUCAUUGAUCAGGUUAUCAGCCCCCCACAGCUGGGGCCAGCCCCACCAGCUCCCAGAAGUCACAGCUCAGCUCAUGGCCUCCCGGAGCCUGUUUGCCUUUUGGAGUUAGGUUUAGUGUUCCAUAUACUUCCACACUGCUCUGGGUGGACAAGACUACUCCAUUGUAACACUGACACAAGUGAUCUGACAAGACACACUGAAGAUAGCCUGUACCAUCUCGCAACACCAGAAACAUCAAAUACUUUCCUUGCCUGCGUAACCUGUGGACCCAGCCAAAACACCUUCACUCUUUGGCCUCUCUCUAGUACCAUCCCUGCAGUCACCCUGAUCACCUCCGAGGACAUCUACUCUGCACCCCCACCACCUGGUCACCUCAACGUGCACUUUUUUGUUGUUGUUGUUUUUUGAGACAGGGUUUCUCUGUGUAGCUUUGGAGCCUAUCCUGGCACUCGCUCUGGAGACCAGGCUGGCCUCGAACUCACAGAGAUCCGCCUGCCUCUGCCUCUCGACUGCUGGGAUUAAAGGUGUGUGCCACCAACUCCUGGCUUCUAUAUAUAAUUCUUAAUUUUUUAACUUUAAAUGUGUAAAUACUUCCAAAUAAAAAUGUGAAACAUAAUGAAUCUAUCA
rnacentral:lncRNA from 1 species